GAAUUCUUCCAAUGGUCCUGGGUAUCGGUGUAACUGUUCGAGUGGCUACCAUGGCAAUCCUUAUGUCGCUCAUGGCUGCCAAGACAUCGAUGAAUGCUCUGAUAAAUAUCAAUAUCCAUGCAAUGGCAUCUGCCAGAACCUGCCCGGUAGCUACAAUUGUUUCUGCCUGUGAGGAACAUAUGGUGAUUGUUUCAAUGGACCAUGCACUCAACAGCAGAACCUUCAAUCAUCAGCGAAGGUGGCUAUAGGUACUUGCGAUCUUGGAUGAUCAAGUGAGAAAUGAAGAGGAUAUAGAACUGAUUCAAAGAAUUAGGGGGCUCACAGGGCAACGCCUGAACUA